UUGCCGUUAGAAAAAGCAUGACUCCCCUCCACCAUCGGUAUUCACUCCCUCAUUCUCCAUUCACCAUUCACCAUUUUCCCCAAAUUGAGAUCCCCAAUUUGAGCAACCCUUAAUUCCCGUCGCCUCCUCCGACUCACUCUACGCCGGCGACCACAACGCCCUCUCACUCCCUUCUACGUCCUCUCUACACUCCGGCUAAACAACACAGUCAAGUCACGAUUCGCCCUUCGUUCCACCACCGCCUUUGCUUUCGGUUCGCGAGGUCUCAUCACCACCACUCCGUCGCCGUCAGAACGGAGUUGCUGUGCUACUGUUUGGAAGCCGCUGCCGUGGAAUCACCGCAGCCGAACAUCAGCGCCUCAUUGUCCCAGCUUUGCCGCAAUGUCUCGCCGUCGCCACUGUUGCCUUUUUCCCUUGUUUAUUUGUAUUUGCCUUUUUGUGAAGCUAUUAAACUUGUUGUGAUGUCCAAACAUUCAUGGGUUGAAAGAGCACGUCACCGCUUGCUUAUUUGUACAUUGGUGUUAUCCCUUUGAGCAUUUAUCUUAAAAUUUGGGCUCAGCCAUUGUGAAAGCUAGACCCAAUAACUCUCUAUUUCUCUCUCGGUUUUGGUGAUGAAACAAUUGUGUGAUAGUGAAACUGAUUGGGAGUAGACAACAAACAUAAAUGGAUUGAAAGAAAAUCUUUAUUUUGAUUUGGUUGCUUUACUAGCAACUUUUAUUCUCUUAGAGUGAUUUUUUCCACUGCAUCAUGUAACAGUCUGUUUGCUUUCUAAGGGUAUUACUAAGGGUCCCACUAUGUGGUAAGAAAAUGUGGAUUUUGUUAAAUGUGUCUUUGGAAGGUUGAAAUAUAAACUAGAGUGUGUUUGCUUUCUAAGGGUAUUACUAAGGGUCCCACUAUGUGCUAAGAAAAUGUGGAUUUUGUUAAAUGUGUCUUUGGAAGGUUGAAAUAUAAACUAGAGUGUGGGUCAUGAACCAUAAUGGAAAUUGCUAAUUUUUAGGGGACACCAUACGUAGUAAUUGUGCUAUACUAUUGGGGGACGGAUGGACUAAUUGUUACUAGUAUCAGUGCGAACCAAAUGAUUAUACAAUGUUGGGGAGUCAAUUAUUUUAAGCUAGAUUAGUAUUGUGAAUUAGCAUAUGCAUAUUACAAGUUCUAUUAAUAGCGCUUAUAACUUUAUCCUACUGGCUAACUAAAAUCUCACACUUCUGAAUUCUUUCUUUAUUCCUGAUUACGUAUUUGUUUUCUUCCUUAUUUCUUAAUUCAGUAGUUGUGUGGCAAUGGAGGCGUUCUUGUUCUAGUUCAGGCCAUCAUGAACUUAAAGUUAUCGGGCUCAGACAAUAUUUCCUCAUACAUGGCUGCUAUCUCCCGCCUAAAAUCUAAAGCUUUAUCUAUUCUUUUGCACCUUUGUGAAGCUGAAAGUGUAUCCUACCUGGAUGAGGUGGCCAGCAACACAACAACUCGGGAUGUGGCAAAGUCUGUUGGACUCGAGGUUCUUCAAUUGCUGAAAAAUGUUUGGUAUAGAUUCAAGACAGUUAAAAGCUCCCUCCGAGGCAAGUUACCCGAAGGGUCAACUGGAACGUAAUACAAAGCGCUUGGCAGAUGUCGUCUCAGAUGCUUCAAAUUUUCGGUCAUUCAUCAUGAUAAACUUUGUUCACAGUUGAGUCAUUCUGAAUCUUUAGUUCCAGGAGUUUUGAAUGAAGAUGAUGUAUAACUGCUGAGGUUAUUUAUAAGUCAGUUUGAGUGCCGAAUCAUUCGUGCUACAUCGGAAGAUCAUUUAGUCCAUGAGCUUGGAAAGGGGUGGACUGCAGGAGCAACUAGCUUCCUAUAUUGGACUCUCGGCCCUGAUGAGAAAAAAAGAGUAGGGAAUAAGCUUCAUAAAAAGGAAUUUUAAAGCCACAAAAGGAAGGUAGGAAGGUAAGACGAAUCUUGUAAAGAUGACAGGAAAGAUUGCUGUAUAUAUUUAAAGAAAACAAUUUUAUCGGUCAAUCAAAACUGAAUGUUUGGAAAGUAUCGAAGAUGAUCUAAAUUGACUGAGUAUUAUGUUUUUAUUCUGAUAAAGAUACACUGGUAGAGGUUUGUUUUCAGCAUUUUGGUAUGUGAGAAGGUACCAGGUUUCCCAGCAAGGCAGGAAAUCCGAGCUUUUAUUGUAGUCGUCAAAUCCUGGUCUUUGAGGAUUCUGAAAUCGCUGGCCUUGGAAGCUGGUUGAGCACUCAAUUAGUGUCAAGUAAAGAUACUUUCUAUGAGGAUCAGUCAUUAAGCAUCAACGUGUGACUCACCUUACGCUGAGUAUUGCUUUACGAGCUGUUUUAGAUGCUUUGAGUAAGCCUGCAGAUUGGUAAGUUUGUCCCUUCCUCGGUUAUCUGUGAAUUCAGUCUGACCUUGGAUUUAUGACAUUGAGAUGUUUUUCUCUGGGAGUAAGGCAUUGGAGCAGUUUGUGGACCGUAUCAUUGAGUAUUACUUCUCCAGUUUAGUUUUGACCACCUCACUAUUUAUUACAUCGAGUUGAAGGGUAUAAAGCUGCAACCAAUAUUUGCUUCAAUAUUCAAACAUUUAUUUAAUAAACCUAACUUUAGUUUGAUAUUAAGUGUGCCAUUUCAUACUAAAGCCAUCAAUGAAGAACUACUGCAAAAUCUUUCUGAUGCUCUACACUUAUCGGUACCUGAUAAAAUUGGAGUUGGUCUUGCUUUGUCUAAUUCUGAAGAACACGAUAUCUUUAUGAUACUAAGAAGUGUGGUUAGUUAUUCUCUUCUUUGUACAUACAUUUAGAUAUAUUAUUUUGUUUAGUUGUAGGAAGUGGAAUACAUACAUAAGUUUAUUAUUUUUUUCUCCUUGGAAUUCUUCCGCAUGUUUCACUAAACCUAUAACCCUUUUCUUGGCUGUAUGCAGGAAAGAAUUUCUGUUUGACACAAUUUAGAGAGCUGUGUGCCAAAACUACUGCGUUUGAGGCUACUGUGAUAAUUCAGCAUAUUCUCGUGUUACUCUUAGUCAAUUUGAAGGUUUUAAUUAUUUAGAUUCAUUCUUGCAAAUGUUAUCUCUUGUUCCACUACUAAGGUUUUUCUGUUAUAGUUCCUAAUGCAUAAAUAGACUAGAAUGUACUUGGUCGAUAUAAAGGUCGAGGGUGGUAGGGGGCGACUAACUUCUUAACUUAAGAGAAACGGCGGAAUAGGGUGGAAAACAAAAGGCACAAGUCUAUUUAUUGGUUUUUGAGCUUGCUUUGCUUGAUCUUCUGCUUCUUGGUUGUUGCGCCUACAAUUUUCUCUUUAUUCAAUUCAUUCUUUGCUGCCUUUUGCAGCUUUAUAAUUAACCUGUAACAUAUAUUAUAUUUUUGUGUGUUAUGACGUUUUUCUACUUUUUUCUAAUCCACUGUUUGCUACCUUGCAGCUUUAUAAUUAAUACAUACAUAGUAUCCUAUUUUCUUUGUCUUAUAUGCCGUGUACAAAUAUGUCUUAUAUUAGUUAUUAUUUGAUAUAUAAACCCCAUUGAUUGUCAAAUCUUGGCAUCUUAAUAUAUCUGUUAAUUGUAAGUACUUACUAGACACAUUUCCUUUGUACUUCGGCAUUAGGUUUGCUGAACUUGCUUCUAAAAAAGAAAUCGUGGGCCUUGGAAGCUGGUUGAGCACUCAAAUAGUGUCGAGUAAAGAUACUUUCUAGAGGAUCAGUCAUUAAGCAUCAACUUGUGACUAACCUUAUGCUGGGUAUUGCUUUACGAGCUGUUUUCGAUGCUUUGAGGAAGCUUGCAAAUUCAAAAGUUUGUUCCUUCCUAGGCAUUGGAGCAGUUUGUGGGUCAUCUCAUUAAGAAUUAUUGAUCCAGUUCAGGUUUGAGCACCUCACUAUUUAUUCCAGCGAGUUGAAGGGUAUAAAGCUGCAACCAAUAAUUGCUUCAAUAUUCAAAUAUUUAUUUAUUAAACCUAACUUUAGUUCGAUAUUAAGUGUGUUAUUUGAUACUAAAGCCAUCAAUAAAGAACUACUGCAAAAUCUUUCUGAUGCUCUACACUUGUCGGUACCUAAUAAAAUUUGGGUUGGACUUGCUUUGUCUAAUUAUGAGGAACACGAUAUCUGCACGAUACCAGGAUGUGUGGUUAGUUAUUCUCUUAUUUGUACAUACAUUUAGAUAUAAUUUUUUGUUUAGUUGUAGGAAGUGGAAUACAUACAACAGUUUAUUAUUUUUCUCUCCUUGGAAUUCUUCUAUGUGUUGCACUAAACCUGUAACCCUUUUCUUUGUUGUAUGCAGGAAAGACUUUCUGUUUGAGUCAGAUUGCUGCGUUUGAGGCUACUGAGAUAAUUCAGCAUAUUCUUGUGUUAUUCUUGGGAAACUAGGGUGUUUUCCGUGAUAGUUCCUAGUUGUCUAUAAUGUUGUAAAAUACGCUUCAACGUAACUAUGUUACUUGUAAUGUUACCCCGUUCUAAAAUUUUCAACUUGCCUAUAAUGUUUAUCCUUUGUGAAUGCUUGUGCUUCAGGAUCAGUCAUUAAGCAUCAACUUGUGACUAACCUUAUGCUGGGUAUUGCUUUACGAGCGGUUUUCAAUGCUUUGAGGAAGCUUGCAAAUUCAAAAGUUUGUUCCUUCCUAGGUAAUUGGUUAAUGUUAUUAUUGUGAAUUUCAGUCUGACCUUGGCUUUAUGACAUUCUGAUGUUUUCCUUUGGGAGCAAGGCAUUGGAACAGUUUGUGGACCGUCUCAUUUAGUGGCCACUGUACUGCCAUCAUAUCCUGCACUUUGUAACAUUUAUAGGGAGGGCACUUAACAGUAUUUCAGCGGCUUAUACUGAACUGAUGUUAGCCAUAGUGCCAAUACUGAUCACCGACACAGUCAUAUUCAAUCUUCAUCUCCACAUAUAGAGACUGCAGGCCCACCAUUUUCUCUGAUCGGACCCGGCAGCAUAUUGUCUGGAUUAGCAAUUCCCUCUUCGAUCCCACUACAACAGAGACCACCAAGUUCUCUAGAUGAGAGUUCACUCCUAAUUACAUGAAGCCAUCACAACACACCUACCCUUCCUAAGGCAAGUAAUAGGGUCUUUGUCUACUUUGAUGUAGUUCACUUGAUACUUUUUCAUUUUUACCUUGUUUUGACUGUAUUAUUAAGAGCUAAUCUACUCAAACCCACAAUGCAGUCACUCAGUGGUGCUUUGCUGUCAUUAAAAUCUGCCUCCUCGGGUUUACCACGUUCUUCUAGAUAAACCUCAGCAAGUAAAUUGUCACGUUUAACUGUACUACUCUCUCUCAUUGUGCCCUUUAUGGAUUAUAUUAACAUUGGGUCUGGUGUUACAACUGUGCGAAGAGAAACUCCCAUAGAGGUGCUUGGAUGUAGACGUCUUAUAACUUUUUGGCCCCUGUUUACACAUUAUCUUGAUCCUUUGGUUUUCCCAUGUUUUUACUCUUGAGGAUUUUCUUCCUUGUUAUGAGUUAGCAUAUUACAAGUUCUAUUAAUAGCACAUAUAACUUGAUCCCACUGGUUAACUAAAAUCUCACACUUCUGAAUUCUUUCUUCAUUCCUGAUUACUUUCUCGUUUUCCUUUCCCCUUUUGCUUCUUUAUUUUUUGUUUUCUUCCCUGUGACCUGUUUAUUAAUUCAGGAGUAGUGGGGCAAUGGAGGCGUUCAGUCAGGCCGUCAUGAACUUAAAGUUAUCGGGCUCAGACAAUAUUUCCUCAUACAUGGCUGCUCUCUCCCGCCUAAAACCUAAAGCUUUACCGAUUCUUUGCAACUUUGUGAAGCUGAAAGUAUCAUACCUGGAUGAGGUGGCCAGCAACACAACAAUUCAAGAUAUGGCAAAGUCUGUUGGACUCAAGGUUCUUGCCUUGUUGAAAAAAGCUUGGUAUAGAUUCAAGACAGCGAAAUGCUCCCUCCGAGGCACGUUACCCGAAGGGGAAACUUAAUACAAAGCGCUUGGCCGAUGUCGUCUCAUAUGCUUCAAAGUGUGUUAAUAGUGUUUGUAGUGUUUGUGUGUUUAUAAUGUUUGUAUUUUCUGCAUGUAUUUUGUGUAGCGUGUAGUUUUUUUGAUGCAUGUGUAAAGUGUGUAUGUAGUACCGGCAGUGUAUGUAUUUUGUGAAUUUUGUGUAUAGUGUGUGUAGUGAAGUGUGUUUAUUGUGUGUGGAUGUGUGAAUUUUACGUGUAGUGUAUAGUAUGUGUUGAUAUACUUUGUGUGCAGUGUGUGCAGGGCAUGUAUUUUGUGUGUAUAGUGUAUUGUAUGGAUAUUUUGUCUAUACUAUGUGCGUAAAGGGUGUUAUUUUUUGUGUAAUGUGUUUAGAAUGUUUAUUUUUUGUAUCGUGUACGAGUGUGUAUUUUUUGUAUGGUGGGAGACAAUAUAUGUAGUGUGUGUGUAUGUUACUGUGUGCUAUAAUGUCUGGUGUGUGUAUGGUGUUUAUAGAAUGUGUGUUGCAUAGUGUGUUUUUUGGUGUAGUGAGCAACAUGGGCAUUGUAUGUAUAUCGUGCGUGGAGCAUAUACUUUGUGUGCAAUAUGCACCGUGUGGUAUGAUGUAUAGUGUGUAUAUAGUGUGCAAUGUGUAUGAAGAGUAUUAUUUUUUGUUUAGUGCGUAGCAUGUUGAUUUUGUGUAGUGUGUAUGUUUGUAUGUGUUUUAUUUAUAUUGUGUUGGUUUAUUUUAUUUAUACCGUGUUUAAUGUAUGUAGUAUGUGCCAUGAAUUUAAAAUUUGUGUAUACUUUGUGUGCAAUAUGCACCAUGUGGUGUGUGGUAUGAUGUAUAGUAUGUAUAUAGUGCGCAAUGUGUAUGAAGUGUAUUAUUUUUUGUUUAGUGUGUAGCAUGUUGAUUUUGUGUAGUGUGUAUGUUCGUGUGUGUUUUAUUUAUAUUGUGUUUGCUUAUUUUAUUUAUACCG